rnacentral:sRNA from 1 species
AAAAAAAACUAAAAAAA